rnacentral:rRNA from 1 species
CUACUGGGGUAUCUAAUACUGUUUGCUCCCCACGCUUUCGCUCCUCAGCGUCAGAACAGGCCCAGAGAACCGCCUUCGCCACCGGUGUUCCUCCCGAUAUCUGCGCAUUUCACCGCUACACCGGGAAUUCCGUUCUCCCCUGCCUGCCUCCAGCCUGCCCGUAUCCACUGCAGGCCCGGGGUUAAGCCCCGGGAUUUCACAGCGGACGCAACAGGCCGCCUACGAGCUCUUUACGCCCAAUAAUUCCGGACAACGCUCGCGCCCUACGUAUUACCGCGGCUGCUGGCAC